GAUCCUGGCUCAGAUUGAACGCUGGCGGCAGGCCUAACACAUGCAAGUCGAGCGGUAACAGGAGAAAGCUUGCUUUCUUGCUGACGAGCGGCGCACGGGUGAGUAAUGUAUGGGGAUCUGCCCGAUAGAGGGGGAUAACUACUGGAAACGGUGGCUAAUACCGCAUAAUGUCUACGGACCAAAGCAGGGGCUCUUCGGACCUUGCACUAUCGGAUGAACCCAUAUGGGAUUAGCUAGUAGGUGGGGUAAAGGCUCACCUAGGCGACGAUCUCUAGCUGGUCUGAGAGGAUGAUCAGCCACACUGGGACUGAGACACGGCCUAGACUCCUACGGGAGGCAGCAGUGGGGAAUAUUGCACAAUGGGCGCAAGCCUGAUGCAGCCAUGCCGCGUGUAUGAAGAAGGCCUUAGGGUUGUAAAGUACUUUCAGCGGGGAGGAAGGUGAUAAGGUUAAUACCCUUAUCAAU
rnacentral:rRNA from 1 species